rnacentral:rRNA from 1 species
UUAAGCGACUAAGCGUACACGGUGGAUGCCCUGGCAGUCAGAGGCGAUGAAGGACGUGCUAAUCUGCGAUAAGCGUCGGUAAGGUGAUAUGAACCGUUAUAACCGGCGAUUUCCGAAUGGGGAAACCCAGUGUGAUUCGUCACACUAUCAUUAACUGAAUCCAUAGGUUAAUGAGGCGAACCGGGGGAACUGAAACAUCUAAGUACCCCGAGGAAAAGAAAUCAACCGAGAUUCCCCCAGUAGCGGCGAGCGAACGGGGAGGAGCCCAGAGCCUGAAUCAGUGUGUGUGUUAGUGGAAGCGUCUGGAAAGGCGCGCGAUACAGGGUGACAGCCCCGUACACAAAAAUGCACAUGCUGUGAGCUCGAUGAGUAGGGCGGGACACGUGGUAUCCUGUCUGAAUAUGGGGGGACCAUCCUCCAAGGCUAAAUACUCCUGACUGACCGAUAGUGAACCAGUACCGUGAGGGAAAGGCGAAAAGAACCCCGGCGAGGGGAGUGAAAAAGAACCUGAAACCGUGUACGUACAAGCAGUGGGAGCCUCUUUAUGGGGUGACUGCGUACCUUUUGUAUAAUGGGUCAGCGACUUAUAUUCUGUAGCAAGGUUAACCGAAUAGGGGAGCCGAAGGGAAACCGAGUCUUAACUGGGCGUUAAGUUGCAGGGUAUAGACCCGAAACCCGGUGAUCUAGCCAUGGGCAGGUUGAAGGUUGGGUAACACUAACUGGAGGACCGAACCGACUAAUGUUGAAAAAUUAGCGGAUGACUUGUGGCUGGGGGUGAAAGGCCAAUCAAACCGGGAGAUAGCUGGUUCUCCCCGAAAGCUAUUUAGGUAGCGCCUCGUGAAUUCAUCUCCGGGGGUAGAGCACUGUUUCGGCAAGGGGGUCAUCCCGACUUACCAACCCGAUGCAAACUGCGAAUACCGGAGAAUGUUAUCACGGGAGACACACGGCGGGUGCUAACGUCCGUCGUGAAGAGGGAAACAACCCAGACCGCCAGCUAAGGUCCCAAAGUCAUGGUUAAGUGGGAAACGAUGUGGGAAGGCCCAGACAGCCAGGAUGUUGGCUUAGAAGCAGCCAUCAUUUAAAGAAAGCGUAAUAGCUCACUGGUCGAGUCGGCCUGCGCGGAAGAUGUAACGGGGCUAAACCAUGCACCGAAGCUGCGGCAGCGACGCUUAUGCGUUGUUGGGUAGGGGAGCGUUCUGUAAGCCUGUGAAGGUGUGCUGUGAGGCAUGCUGGAGGUAUCAGAAGUGCGAAUGCUGACAUAAGUAACGAUAAAGCGGGUGAAAAGCCCGCUCGCCGGAAGACCAAGGGUUCCUGUCCAACGUUAAUCGGGGCAGGGUGAGUCGACCCCUAAGGCGAGGCCGAAAGGCGUAGUCGAUGGGAAACAGGUUAAUAUUCCUGUACUUGGUGUUACUGCGAAGGGGGGACGGAGAAGGCUAUGUUGGCCGGGCGACGGUUGUCCCGGUUUAAGCGUGUAGGCUGGUUUUCCAGGCAAAUCCGGAAAAUCAAGGCUGAGGCGUGAUGACGAGGCACUACGGUGCUGAAGCAACAAAUGCCCUGCUUCCAGGAAAAGCCUCUAAGCAUCAGGUAACAUCAAAUCGUACCCCAAACCGACACAGGUGGUCAGGUAGAGAAUACCAAGGCGCUUGAGAGAACUCGGGUGAAGGAACUAGGCAAAAUGGUGCCGUAACUUCGGGAGAAGGCACGCUGAUAUGUAGGUGAAGCGACUUGCUCGUGGAGCUGAAAUCAGUCGAAGAUACCAGCUGGCUGCAACUGUUUAUUAAAAACACAGCACUGUGCAAACACGAAAGUGGACGUAUACGGUGUGACGCCUGCCCGGUGCCGGAAGGUUAAUUGAUGGGGUCAGCGCAAGCGAAGCUCUUGAUCGAAGCCCCGGUAAACGGCGGCCGUAACUAUAACGGUCCUAAGGUAGCGAAAUUCCUUGUCGGGUAAGUUCCGACCUGCACGAAUGGCGUAAUGAUGGCCAGGCUGUCUCCACCCGAGACUCAGUGAAAUUGAACUCGCUGUGAAGAUGCAGUGUACCCGCGGCAAGACGGAAAGACCCCGUGAACCUUUACUAUAGCUUGACACUGAACAUUGAGCCUUGAUGUGUAGGAUAGGUGGGAGGCUUAGAAGUGUGGACGCCAGUCUGCAUGGAGCCGACCUUGAAAUACCACCCUUUAAUGUUUGAUGUUCUAACGUUGACCCGUAAUCCGGGUUGCGGACAGUGUCUGGUGGGUAGUUUGACUGGGGCGGUCUCCUCCUAAAGAGUAACGGAGGAGCACGAAGGUUGGCUAAUCCUGGUCGGACAUCAGGAGGUUAGUGCAAUGGCAUAAGCCAGCUUGACUGCGAGCGUGACGGCGCGAGCAGGUGCGAAAGCAGGUCAUAGUGAUCCGGUGGUUCUGAAUGGAAGGGCCAUCGCUCAACGGAUAAAAGGUACUCCGGGGAUAACAGGCUGAUACCGCCCAAGAGUUCAUAUCGACGGCGGUGUUUGGCACCUCGAUGUCGGCUCAUCACAUCCUGGGGCUGAAGUAGGUCCCAAGGGUAUGGCUGUUCGCCAUUUAAAGUGGUACGCGAGCUGGGUUUAGAACGUCGUGAGACAGUUCGGUCCCUAUCUGCCGUGGGCGCUGGAGAACUGAGGGGGGCUGCUCCUAGUACGAGAGGACCGGAGUGGACGCAUCACUGGUGUUCGGGUUGUCAUGCCAAUGGCACUGCCCGGUAGCUAAAUGCGGAAGAGAUAAGUGCUGAAAGCAUCUAAGCACGAAACUUGCCCCGAGAUGAGUUCUCCCUGACCCUUUAAGGGUCCUGAAGGAACGUUGAAGACGACGACGUUGAUAGGCCGGGUGUGUAAGCGCAGCGAUGCGUUGAGCUAACCGGUACUAAUGAACCGUGAGGCUUAACCUU